CCCUCAUUGACGAAGAGAUCCCGAGUGAGUGAAGUUCAGAAUUUAAGUUUUGUCGACGAACGCAUCCUCUCGUUGACAAUGUCCCUUCUGCGGUUCAUCGGCGAAUCCUGUCUUCUCGUCAACGAAGCCAGAUGGCAAUAUUGUGUAUAAAAUAUUAGAGGAAGCUUCUCUACAAAGAAAUCAUAUUUUCCCUUCGAUUUUCCCUCUCUUAAACGGUUUCCUCUGCCUUCUCUCUAAGUUUUUGGCUCGAAUUCAACCCAAAUCGACAAAUGGAAACCGCUACGGUGUUGUAGGGAAGAUUCUUUACACAUCUAGGGGAGCAAAUUUCUAAACUAGGCUUUUCGAGAAUCGCUCCAAAGUUGAGGACCUUCAUGGGAUCGAGUUUAGAGAGCUUGGGUUGUUGUAGCAUUUUUUAGAGAGAGAGGGUAUGGACUGUUGGAUAUGUAUAUUUCCUUUUGAGUUUUAUGUUUUCUGAGAUGAAUAUGGAUAUUGUUAAUACUGGAUGUUGGGUUAUGUUUUGAGAUGUAUAUAGAU